rnacentral:rRNA from 1 species
GAUGAACGCUGGCGGCGUGCCUAAUACAUGCAAGUCGAGCGAACGGACGAGAAGCUUGCUUCUCUGAUGUUAGCGGCGGACGGGUGAGUAACACGUGGAUAACCUACCUAUAAGACUGGGAUAACUUCGGGAAACCGGAGCUAAUACCGGAUAAUAUUUUGAACCGCAUGGUUCAAAAGUGAAAGACGGUCUUGCUGUCCUUUCUAGCUGGAUCCGCGCUGCAUUAGCUAGUUGGUAAGGUAACGGCUUACCAAGGCAACGAUGCAUAGCCGACCUGAGAGGGUGGUCGGCCACACGGGAACGUAGACACGGACCAGACUCCUGAGGGAGGCAGCAGUAGGGUAUCUUCCGCAGUGGGCGAAAGCCUGACGGAGCAACGGCGCGUGAGUGAUGAAGGUCUUCGGAUCGUAAAACUCUGUUAUUAGGGAAGAACAUAUGUGUAAGUAACUGUGCACAUCUUGACGGUACCUAAUCAGAAAGCCACGGCUAACUACGUG